UACGAAGGGGGGCUAGCGUUGCUCGGAAUCACUGGGCGUAAAGCGCACGUAGGCGGCUUUUUAAGUCAGGGGUGAAAUCCUGGAGCUCAACUCCAGAACUGCCUUUGAUACUGGAAAGCUCGAGUCCGGAAGAGGUGAGUGGAACUGCGAGUGUAGAGGUGAAAUUCGUAGAUAUUCGCAAGAACACCAGUGGCGAAGGCGGCUCACUGGUCCGGUACUGACGCUGAGGUGCGAAAGCGUGGGGAGCAAACAGG
rnacentral:rRNA from 1 species